CCAGACUCCUACGGGAGGCAGCAGUGGGGAAUAUUGCACAAUGGGCGGAAGCCUGAUGCAGCAACGCCGCGUGCGGGAUGACGGCCUUCGGGUUGUAAACCGCUUUCGCCUGUGACGAAGCGUGAGUGACGGUAAUGGGUAAAGAAGCACCGGCUAACUACGUGCCAGCAGCCGCGGUGAUACGUAGGGUGCGAGCGUUGUCCGGAUUUAUUGGGCGUAAAGGGCUCGUAGGUGGUUGAUCGCGUCGGAAGUGUAAUCUUGGGGCUUAACCCUGAGCGUGCUUUCGAUACGGGUUGACUUGAGGAAGGUAAGGGAGAAUGGAAUUCCUGGUGGAGCGGCGGAAUGCGCAGAUAUCAGGAGGAACACCAGUGGCGAAGGCGGUUCUCUGGGCCUUUCCUGACGCUGAGGAGCGAAAGCGUGGGGAGCGAACAGGCUUAGAUACCCUGGUAGUCCACGCUGUAAACGGUGGGUACUAGGUGUGGGGUCCAUUCCACGGGUUCCGUGCCGUAGCUAACGCUUUAAGUACCCCGCCUGGGGAGUACG
rnacentral:rRNA from 1 species